rnacentral:tRNA from 1 species
UCGUGGUAGCUCGGUGGUUAAGAUGUUGGACUUCAGAUCGGAAGGUUGAGAGUUCAAAUCCCAGCACCACCAA